GAUGAACGCUGGCGGCGUGCCUAACACAUGCAAGUCGAGCGAAAGCACAGUAAGCGCUUGCUCUUAUGGCUGGCGACUGGCGGGCGAGUGAGGGGUACAUCGCCUUCUACUUUGUCAUGGGCGAUCACGUGGGAGAUCAUAACCUCAUACCGCAGACGUCCCACGGGAUACAGCAAUGGAUCUUCCAACCUUCCAUGAGAGGAUUAGCCGGUGCCGGAUUUGCUAGUUGGGGGGGUAAAGGCCCAACACGGCGACGAUGCGUAGGGGGUCCGAGAGGAUGGUCGGCCACACUGGAAGUGAGACACGGUCCAGACUCUGACGGGAGGCAGCAGUGGGGAAUCUUGGACAAUGGGGGAAAGCCGGAUACAGCAAUACCGCGUGAGUGAAGAAGGACUUCGGGUUGUAAAGCCCUGUUGUUGGGCAAGAAAAGAAGCCGGUUAAUACGGGGCUGUUCUGACGGUACCUAAAGAAUAAGCAACGGCUAACUACGUG
rnacentral:rRNA from 1 species